rnacentral:rRNA from 1 species
GACGAACGCUGGCGGCGUGCUUAACACAUGCAAGUCGAACGAUGAAGCCCAGCUUGCUGGGUGGAUUAGUGGCGAACGGGUGAGUAACACGUGGGUGAUCUGCCCUGCACUUCGGGAUAAGCCUGGGAAACUGGGUCUAAUACCGGAUAGGACCUCGGGAUGCAUGUUCCGGGGUGGAAAGGUUUUCCGGUGCAGGAUGGGCCCGCGGCCUAUCAGCUUGUUGGUGGGGUAACGGCCCACCAAGGCGACGACGGGUAGCCGGCCUGAGAGGGCGACCGGCCACACUGGGACUGAGACACGGCCCAGACUCCUACGGGAGGCAGCAGUGGGGAAUAUUGCACAAUGGGCGCAAGCCUGAUGCAGCGACGCCGCGUGAGGGAUGACGGCCUUCGGGUUGUAAACCUCUUUCAGUACCGACGAAGCGCAAGUGACGGUAGGUACAGAAGAAGCACCGGCCAACUACGUGCCAGCAGCCGCGGUAAAAC